rnacentral:lncRNA from 1 species
UAGUGGUACAUUUAGCAUGUGAUUAUAAGUAAAUUGAAAUUAUGUUAUGCAAAACUUGAAAAGAAGAAGGGGGAAUGAGGGAAGGAAGAAAGGAGAAAAGCAUGGUUACCUUCUGAGAAUUGUAUCUUUGAAAUACAUGAAAUCUGUUCUCUUUAUAUUAAUAAAGAGGAAAAAUAAAUGUAUUAUAACAUCUAUUAUAUGAAAAAUACUAUUAUUCACUCAUUUUUAUGGUGUCAUUACACAAAAAUUGUGCUACUGAAAACUUGGCCUCCACUCUGUUUAGCCACAGUUAUGAUAAAUAGUGCAUUUUAUACUCAAUCUUGAAGUACAAACUUAAAAUGUUAACUAUUUGUUAUUUUUUUCUUCCUAGAAAGCUGAUUUUUCAUCUGAAGAGAGGCCUAAUGGUUUUAGGAUCAGACACAAUAGACAUCGUCACCAUCAUCAAAGAUAUAUACAAGAGCCAUCAUAUCCACAAAAUGCUCCAAUUGACUAUCCAAAUAAUCCAAAUGGCUAUGGCUAUCCAAAUGGUCCUUACCCUCCUGCUCAGUAACCAUAAGACAUGGCAUCACAGGUAAACUCAUCUAGUGACAGGAUUUAGUUUCCAGAAGUGCCAAUGCCAACAGUUAAAAGACAGAAACAAAAGCAAGCCAUCAAACCAAGGACACCCCAGUUUGAGAAGUGUGGCCUAGCACAGCAUUUGUGAAGUGUAUUUAUUUAUACAAUGGUUGUCAGGAGAAAGCUCUGCUCUGCUGGAUUUAAGAGGCUG